UAUCAUCAUCAAUUUGUACAGUUAUCUGGCAGCUAGAAUGGAAUGAUGCUAAUGGUAAAUGACAAACUUCAAAUGAUGCUAAUGGGCAAACAGAAACCAAGGCCUCAAUAUCUAACAGACACAGCAUGAAAUCACUUGAUAACCAGGCAUCUAGUCAUUUCCAAUAAUAUCAUUUGUGAUUUAGAAGUUGUCAGGAUAUUGGCAAACUUCAUUUGAGACUGACAAAUUGCAGAGUAAAAGUUCCAAACUAGGAUCAGAUUUGAAACAAAUUAAGCUUCAUACCAUUUAUUAGGUUCAGGAUUGCAGCAGAACUUGUGUUAAGUGUUGACUGCAGAAGAGGACCUAUGACCAUUCCUGGAUUUAUCGUGACUAUAUCUAUGCCAUUCUCUUUAGAAAACUUCCAAGCAGCUUCCUCUGCCAAAGUCUUCGAGAGUACAUACCAUUGCUGGGGUAAUAUGAGAGAUCUUAGAAAACAUGCAUAAUAAAAAGUUGAAUUUUUUUAUUGAAGGCAUCUAUAAAGAAAAAAGAUUUGAGAUGUAAUAAAUGUAAAUCCAAAGAAAUUAACUAAUAACAAACAAAUAGAAGGUGCAACAAUACAGACACGGAAAUUGUUGGAUUUUUUUUUUUUGACAUGGACAUUGUUAUUUAUGAUAAUUCCAGUCGAAACAUAAAUAUGAAUAGAUUAGAGACUUACUGGGAGGUUUUAAGCAGGCCAGGUAUUGUCACUUCACUAAACGCACCAUGUUGCAGAAUUCAGAGUCUAAUUAUUUUUUGAGGCAAUAUAUUUGGCCAAAUUAGUAAAUCAUAAUACUAGAAACCUGAGGACAAUCAGUACUAGAUAUUAUGAUUUAAUAUCUUUUUAUUUCUUUCUCAUUCCCAACCCAGAGAAUCCACUGCCAAGGCUGAAACGGAGUAGCUUUCAGCACCACAUGGACCACAACCAGAGUACUGCUAUAUUACACUGCUAUACUACUCUGCUACACAUAAGUAUUUAGGUGUUUCUUUAUGACAGACCAUCAUCCAGAUAGAAUGGAUUUUAUUAAUUGGUAUUCAUUAUUUUCUUCUAGUGAUAAUUUACAUGCAGGACUGAUCUGAUCCUAGGAUGCUACAAUCCCUUCCAAGCAGAAACCAAGACUAUGAGGUGGUACUAUCUCUUUCAAACUAACGCCAAACCAUCAUCUUCACACUUGAACAGGACAUAAAAUCUCAGCCAGGAGAAAUCAAGCAUCAUCCUGAAGACCAAUUUAAGAUUGUAUCAUACAACUUUCAGUCUAGCUAGCAUGGACAUGCAAUCAGUCUUCAGUUAUUAUAACCCACAUAUAGCUGCCGUCAUAACUUCAACAGUAUGGUUCUCCAAUAUCAUCCAGCAGACUGUAUAUUGUAUUCAGAAGGUUACUAAAUAAACUUGUCUCACAAGCUCCGCAUAAUAUUGUGUACAUUAUCUGGUGUGUUGCGAAAACAUGACAGAAAGGUUUUCUAAAAUAAAGGAAUUUUUUGGUAAUAAAUUAAAAUUGUAAAAAGGUUGUGGCCAAGGAUUGAAACAUNNNNNNNNNNNNNNNNNNNNNNNNNNNNNNNNNNNNNNNNNNNNNNNNNNNNNNNNNNNNNNNNNNNNNNNNNNNNNNNNNNNNNNNNNNNNNNNNNNNNNNNNNNNNNNNNNNUAUAUAUAUAUAUAUAUAUAUAUAUAUAUAUAUAUAUAUAUAUAUAUAUAUAUAUAUAUAUAUAUAUAAUAUUUUAUUUAUAUAUCUAUUUAUUUAUAUAUUUAUAUAUAUAUAAUUUAAAAAAAAAAAGUGUGAUGUUGCCAGACGGGGCGACGUCACCGAGGCGACAUCGCAGGAAAAACGAGGUGACGUCGCUUUAUAUAUAUAUAUAUAUAUAUAGAGAGAGAGAGAGAGAGAGAGUCCGAUAGUGAGUAAUCCACGUACCGGUUUACUGUCGGAUCAAUACGUAUCGUCCGUACCGAGUGAUAUCAUUCAAAAUUGUAUAUCUUGGUUAUGACCGUAAAGUACAGUAACUUUCUAUAAAAAAAAAUAUAGGGAGCACUGAAAUAGAAUAUAGAUAAAUUAAAACCAAUGACAUGAUUGCAGCAGAAAAUAUUCUACAGAAGCAAUAAAACUAUUCAGUACAUACUGUCAGAUACCUUUUGCUGCUCGCAAACCUCGGGACUAGAAAACCAUGUCUCAUCAACAACUACAUCAGGAGUUGGUGGUUUACUAUUGUAUAAAACUGCAGCCAUUGAUGAUGUCACCACUACCUUUUUCACAGACCACUUCUUACAGGAUGCCAAAACAUUGAGUGUGCCCUUCACUGCUGGCUCAAUUAACUCAGCCUAAAAUAAAAGUAAAUAAAUCAGAUAAAGCUUGACAUCAUUUGCAAACUUAGAUCAAGAACCCCAUGGUCAGAUAUGAGACAAAAGAGAAAAUGAAAGACAUGAAAAGCAAGCAAUGUCCUCUUGAUAAGCCACAUUUAAUAGCAGAUACUCCAAAACCGUUGUAUCAUGUUACAGAAAUCAAUAACAAUUAUUUCUUUGGUGGAACUCUUAGUGGGUCUUAUGGUUUUGUAAUAACAGAUGAUAGAAAUAGAAAGCAAUAAAAUUACGAAAACAGUCCUUUCUAUAUGCUUCUACUGAGUUUUCAAGGAAAAAAAUAACCCAAAAAUAUUGCAUUUUACAUGGGGCAAUUUAUUAAUCACACAGUUUACAAGGAAACAAAGUCAUUUAUGUAAAAUGGAUGGUGAAGGGCCAUUGGAUGACUCUCAUGUUUCAUGCCGUUACCAAACAGAUUCUUCACUGGGAUACCUUCACGCUUCAUUGCUAUUACCUAACAGACGCUAUACUGGCAUUUCACCUAGACAUCAGCUAUUAGGUAUAACCUUGUUUGAUAAGAAAACAUAAAAAGGAAAGGGAUAUUCUGAAACUUUUAUAACUGCCUUAAUAUGUAAGAUGUUGCAUUUAGGGACAAGCUCAGAAAGCAAGGUUCAAAGAGAAAAUGUAAGUGACUGAGCAUAAUUAUAUGGGAAUAAAUAAUAGAGUUUUGAAAUUAAAGAAAUUUGUCAAAAUUAAACAAUAUAGUAACAUUGACAAGUUGGUUUGGCAGUAGAGAACUAUAGAUCAUAAAUGUAAACCUGUGGAUUCGUGAGUGCAAGAUAUAAAGGAGAUGCAGUGUGAAAAACACCAUCACAACCCUCAACCACAGCAUCAAAGGACCCCUCUUCUAAUAAGUUGGCUUUAUACAAAAGCAACCUCUCCGUGGCUCCCUCCAGAGCACGCAAGUGCUGAGUCUUCUUUUGAUCAGCUGACAAGAAUGAUUUCAAAAUAUUGAAAAGAAGACAAAAGAAUUAAGGUACAGAGGAAGUAUACAAAUAUAUAAUCUUAUAUCAUCAAUAUAAUUAUUAUAUUAAGGGUUCCAACAUGAUUUAAGUCAUCAAUAUUAAAGGAAGAUCAGAUUACAGUCAGGGUAAUUUAGGUUUCUUCCCACAAGAUAUAUCCAAUAAACCUGGUGUUUUAGGCAAAGGCUAUGAAUGUAAAGCAAUAGGCAAACAGAGUAGGAAUAUUUGCGUGCAUAUUUACAAUAAAAGAUUCUUUCAAGGAAACAAACAUCGAGCAGGAAAAUAUCAUGUAAAUCAGUUUUCCAUGGAUUGAUGCAAUUGAGCAGGAAAAUACUUCAAAACUACUACUCUCUUGUUUAUGCAAACUGUAGCCAAUUGAAAAAUAUUAAAUAAGUAUAUUCUUAUAAGCCCCCAUCUAAAUUUUAAGCCCAUUAAUCAGAAACUGUAAUCAUUUGCACAUUCAGGAUUGUUACUUGUUUUCAUUUCUAAUAGUCGGAUACUCAGCCGAAUGAUGAUUACCUUCAAUCUUUUUGCUCUGUUUUUUAAUUUUGAAAGUUACACACACCACAAACAGACAUCAUUUUGGAUAUACCCCAAGAACAGUUUCAUAUUUGAUCAAUUCAGAUCAUGAUGCAGAUGUGUGACUCACAACAUCCGGAAUAAAUAACAUAGGCUUCCCACUCCUUUGUUCUUAGAAUUCGAGCUCACGCAAUCAUCUUGUGGGAUUGCAAAAGGUCCGAAAACAUUUAGAAGGGAAGAGAUCCAAACGAUCGAGAGUGUGCUAGAUGAGUCGAAUCUACUCUUCAGAAGAAUACCGAGUUUAGCACGAACCAGGGUCACGCACGGAGGCGCGUACGGUGUAGCCGCGCUGGAGGAGGAGCUUCACAAGCCACGAGGCGAUGAAGCCGGACGCGCCCGUGACACAAACCACCUUCCCGCCGCCGCUCAUCGUGACCACAGCUCUCGCUCGGCCGGUCGCUGUUUUAGUGGAAGAGCAGGCAAAGGAUCGCAGUGGUCUGUCGAGAAGGCCGCUCCUCUGCGGCAUAAAUAGGGCGCCAAAGGCGGAAGAUAAUUAUCGGACGGCCAACUCCAUCCGCUGCUCUAACACUAACAUCACAUGACGUUACGAAUUACGACACCUGCCUGCGGCGGCACAUCGCAUCUUGCUUGUCGAGAUGGGUGAUAGUAUAAACGGAAAAGGGACAAUUCAAGUAAUCUUACCGCUUGUUUUGGACAUGAAUUUAACCAUGGAAUGAUCAGUCUGCUGACAGAGUGCCUAUCGCUAAACGCUCGUAAUCUUUUGUCAUGGUGUGCCUGUUGUGCGUGCAUUUUAUGAACUCCGAAGUCAACCCAGCUUGGGUGUUUUGGAUCCAGAAGGAAGAAGCAUGUUGCUCCUGCUGAGCUAUGCCCCAUUCUGGUAACACUUCACAAGAUAUUGAGGAGACAAAAGAUGGAUGAUUAUUCAACAUUUCCCCUGCUUAUUUCAAGUCCGUUCAUAUGUUUGGAUUCACAAGAUUUCACUUUGGUCACUGAUUCGGGUGCGAUCCUUCCAGCACAGAAAGACAAAACAAUGAAUCGAUCCAACCGAGAUGGCACUGAAUCAUGCUUUCGACAGGCCAUCAAUUUUGGGUCAGCCAUGACCGACGAUGUCGACUUCGAUGCGCUGUCAUGGUCGUUGUUCAGCUUGAUGAGUUUUGCAGUCGGAGUAAUAGGGUCUUUUUUCUUCUGUUGUCUGAAUCAAAUGUCAGAUGAGUUGGAGGAAUACAUCAGAAACCAAAUUGACUCAAAAAAAUUUACUUACUAAAGAGGGUUAAUCCAUUGAACUCACUAUUAAGUGACUUAUUCUUCAUCAAGAUAUCGAGAGUUUAAAAACUUCAUUCAGUAGUUUUUUUAAUAGCGAUCUUAAUUAUCGGUAUCAAUGUCCUAAAAUGAAAUCUUAUCUUCAUCACUUAUCUUUUUCUAAUAAAUUUACAAAAUUUUCAAAAAUAAGAAUAAAUUUUAUUUUUAUUGCUUCAAAGUUCUCUUCUUAUUUAUGUUUAGAUGACAUUUUCAUUUAGAAUGAAUAAUUGUCCAAUCCAUUUCUUUGAUUUUACUUCUCAUCCUCAUAGAGAUAUUUAGUUUGUGUAAUAUGAGGAUGGAACAAGAUAACAACUAACCACACUUAUAUUAUAUGAAGAACACAUUCCAAUAUAAACUUAUAAUCUAUCACACCAACAACAGGCAUGACACCAUAAUGGAGCACAAAUAUGUCCUCGUUUCUAAAAAACAAAUUGCAUGUGCUGAAAAGAUCAAUUACAGGAUUAUGCAAUGCAUGAUUUACUGCUUCAAAGUUCGACAAGCAUCGCCAUUGAUCUGGGAUGCAAAAUUAUUUAUUAUGCUAAUUCAAGUUUUAGAAAUUAAUAAAGUUCUUCUCCUUCAGGCUCUCGAUCGUUUCCUUGAUGCUUGUUUCCAGAGGGAUGUAGUAGAGGCCCAAGCUUUUAAACUUUUCCUUGGAGACUUUGUAUACCGGCACAAAGGGCUUGUCAUCUGCACACCUGCCAACGUUAUGGUCACAGCUUAGUACACCAAAAGGAGAUGGUAGCCACAGAAUGUACUAAAAUUACAGCUUCCUUUUAUAGAAUCAUUUCUUCAGCCAUUAGUGACCGAUGAACAAGCAAUGGCAAAGACCUCGAUACAAUGUACAUGGCAAGAAGAACAAGCUGGUCAUAGCCACUAAAUGAAUUAUACCAGAGGAAAGCUAUGCCAGCAUUACAGAAUGUUACUGACUAAUUUAUAUGGUGCACAUUAUCAGAUAUCAAUAUGAUCGGAUGUUCAGAAGUUCUAGAACUCUUUCAGUUCAAAACAAAAGUUAAGAACUAUGAACUUCGUACAGUAGAACUUAGCAGAACUCAGACGAAGAUAUGCUUUGAGAACCAUUCUCCUUGUGUCUUGCUGUUGUUGGGUCUUAUUGCUAUUUCAUUACUACUAUGUUUUUAAUUCUAGGAGAGAUGGUUAUAUGUAUCACUUAGAAUUGCACGGAUGACGAUAAAGAGAGUGAAAGUAAAGACAGAAGGAUAAUAAAUAAAAUAAAAUAAGUAAUUGCAUCAUCCAUUGGCCUAAUCUAAAGAACAGACAUUAUAGAAGCACACAACAAUGAGACCAUGGGGUAUGCCUAAUCUGGAACUUAGAUUUUAUAUCCUAUAUACAUCAAAAUUGCAAUUAUACAAAAUGCCUAAUAAUAAAACCAUAAGCCGUCGUGUUCCAAACAAAAUUAUUUGAAAUCAGUUAUAUGGAUCUUUCCCUAUCAUUAAGUCAUGUAUAAGAUAAUAAUUUUAGAUGAAUAAAAUAUCAUACAAAUCCUUUUUUAUUAUUACUACUAACAUCUUCUUAAGUCGUCCGCUAACCCUCUUUCCACCACAACUAUUAAUUGAGUCAUCUUUUCAAACUAUAACGUACGUGUUUACUUUGGACAUGUUCAUCUUAAUUUGGAUACUCCUCGUUUUAUAUUUUAUCGUAAACACACCUAAUUCUCUAUGAUUGAAGUCAUUUUUUUUUUAUCCUCCCUAAUAAUUUUGUAUGUUCAUCUCAGUUACUAAACUUUUUUGUACAUAUUCUUGCCAAACAAUCCAAUACUCAGAUUGGUAGCCACAAAACCACCAAUGCACCUACCAAUUUUAAUUAUCUAAUUUUUAUUUUAUAAACAAUGUCUUCAUCAAUCUCUCCAUGUUGUUCAACAAUAGAUCCAAGAUUUUUUUUAUUUUACAAUAAAGGCUAAGCACCAUUAAAAAAUUGCAAUACUAUGAGAAGCAUGAAACUUGAAAGAAAGAUCAGUAACCACCGAGCAAACUCUUCAGAUAUAACGGAUAGAAUUUUGUCAUCAAUCAACAAGACUAGUAGACACGGCACUUGGAUCACAAGACAAAAAAAGCAACCGAAAAUAGUAACUUACUUAUCAGGGAGUUGAAAAGAAGGAUAAAGUUCAUGUAUGAUCUUCAAAAUCUCUGAGUAAUGAACAACUCUUUCGACAAGACAGUAUCUUCCUGAUGCUGAGGGAAGUUCAAAAGCGAGAACAUGCGCCAUGGCAACAUCUUGAACAUUUACCCACCCAAAGGUUGCAUUAGGAAACGUGGAGGAACCUAAAGACAAAAAGAACAGAUAGCCAAAGUCAUAAUUCUCUUAUACGAACCAUUUUCUAGAAAAUAAUUACCAAGACUUGGAAGAAUCAAAACCAUUCUAGGAUAUAGAUCUCAACCAAAACAUUCAACACUGCACAUUGAGACAGCAGGCACUUUAAAUACAUUGACAGAACAUGAUCUUGAUAUGUCGUAUUGUUUGGUUGCCAGAAAAAUGAUAAAGUCAGCAUUAACAACAUAUUCUUCCCAUCCUCGACGUAGCCAUCAGGCUACACUUGCCUACUCCUAAGCAAUAAAUAUUUAAUUUUAAGAUUCAGUAUCCAAAAUCACAUCAUCACCAAGGUCCGCAAUACCGUACCGUACCGGAGUUUCGACCUGGGCUCGGUACCGGUAUGGUAUGGUAUACCGAGCGGUACACCCAGGUGUACCGCUCGGUAUAUUUAGGCGUGCCGACUGUAGCACUGCUACAGUGCUACAGUGCUGCGACAGUAUCUGGCAGAUCUAUUUGGCCAAAUGAGAAUAUCAUCAUCAAUUUGUACAGUUAUCUGGCAGCUAGAAUGGAAUGAUGCUAAUGGGCAAACAGAAACCAAGGCCUCAAUAUCUAACAGAGACAGCAUGAAAUCACUUGAUAACCAGCCAUCUAGUCAUUUACAACAAUAUCAUUUGCGAUUUAGAAGUUGUCAGGAUAUUAGAAAACUUCAUUUGAGACUGACAAAUUGCAGAGUAAAAGUUCCACACUAGGAUCAGAUUUGAAACAAAUUAAGAUUCAUACCAUUUAUUAGGUUCAGGAUUGCAGCAGAACUUGUGUUAAGUGUUGACUGCAGAAGAGGACCUGUGACCAUUCCUGGAUUUAUCGUGACUAUAUCUAUGCCAUUCUCUUU
rnacentral:lncRNA from 1 species